rnacentral:rRNA from 1 species
UACGGAGGGUGCGAGCGUUGUCCGGAAUCACUGGGCGUAAAGGGCGCGUAGGCGGCUCAUGAAGGCUGUGGUGAAAGUCCGGGCUCAACCUCGGAUCGGCCGUGGCGACUCGUGGGCUGGAGCACUGUAGAGGCGGGUGGAAUUCCGGGUGUAGCGGUGGAAUGCGUAGAGAUCCGGAAGAACACCAGUGGCGAAGGCGGCCCGCUGGGCAGUGGCUGACGCUGAAGCGCGACAGCGUGGGGAGCAAACGAGG